rnacentral:lncRNA from 1 species
UACCAAUGGCCUUUUCUUUUACUCCAACCUUUUUAGUGGUUUUAUUUGUUUUGGUUUCUUUGGUGGGGGGGGGGGUGAAAAAGGAGAGCAAACUAGUGAGAGGAUAAAGCAGGCAACAAUGUUUCAGCCUGUCUCAAGUUCAAAGCAGGAGUGCGGCAAGUUCAGUUCUUCCUGAAUCGCAGCCUCACUGCUCCACAGAUGUCUUAGUUUGUAAUAAAAAUCUCAGCCGCUCUCUUUAGCUGUGGCCCCUCCCCUCCCCUCCCCUCCCCCUCCCCUCCUCUCUCUCCGAAUUCACUUUACCUGAGAUUGACCCAUAAAGUUUUCGUCAAAUCAACAAGGUGGGACAAUUUCUUGCUGAAAGAAAGGCAUUCAUCCAGGUCUGGGUGUUGAAGUAAGAGCCGCAGGGCAGGAGGCUGGUGGGCCAGACAAGGUGAGAAGAGAAACUGGUAUACCCAGCUGCUGCAGCAGAGAGGAGUGCCCUGAAACAAGGAGGUGGAAUCCAACUUGGCAGGGGCAUGACACCUCAGUGAAAGAUCUCCUCUCCUAUGCGAGCCCCAACAACCAAUGGCCAAGGGCUGGCACAUCUGUCAUUACAACACUGAGAGAUGGAAAUGACCAGUGUCAGUCAAAGAGGCCAGGUUUUUGCCUCUCAUACCUGCUGCUGAUAAGGUCACCUAAACAAAGCUGGGCACCCCCCUCAGUGAUUACCACUCCGUUGUUUUUUUUUUUUUUUCCCCCUCUUACGACCCAUACACUCCCUGGUUCCCAUCUCUGGCUGCCAUGGUCAGUCUCCUGCUGGAGUCCAGCCUGUGUCUUUGAACCUUCCCAGAGGAUUUUGCUAACUGCAGCACAAUAUCCUGUAGCCUUGUGAAAAAGCAAAUGCUGAUAGAGAAAGCGUUUUUUUGGAGAGUCGAUAUCCUGAGGGGUGAAGACUACAGGGAGCAAUGGAGUGAGCUUUAUGGUGUUCUGUAUUCCUCAAAACUUCCUGUUAACGCAAAGAUGAAAGAUUUGGAAUAAAAUCUGGUAUGGCCAGAGUUCAGAUUUCCCGGUUUAUCUCAAAAGAUUUUAAUUUUUUAAAAUCAAGUGUUCCCUAUGUUCCCAGUAUCCCGAUGAAAGGGAAAACUCAGUUUCCAGCGCACCAGGGAAGCACCUGGGUAUCAUUUCCAGCCUCUGACGGUCCUUAAUUAUGACACCUGCUGGGGGCUGAAUACUUACUGUGUAGCAAGAGAGCAAGGUGAUGCGGGGUGGGGAGGUACUUCGCUAUUGUGUUUGUCCUGUCUCUUACCUCCAUCAUCACGGCAGGGAUGGGGUCUCCCCAAGCUAAUGCUCCUGGAUAGCAACAUUAUUAUAGUGUUUUUAUCAGUGUUUUCUCUCUCCCUUUGAUUUCAGCAAUUAAAUGUAAAACGUGUUUAUUUUUGUUUCCUGUACUUUGAUAUAUCCUGCUGGGAGCCUAGCGCGCUCACUUCUUGAUUUAAAUUUAUAUAUUUUUUCUCUCUUGGAUUCUUCUCCCCUCUCCUGCUCCAUUCUCUCAUCUUCGGGUUCCUUAAUUUUGUUAAGAUCUUUUCAUAUUGGUUCAAACAUCACUCAAAUUCCAUUUUCUUCCUAUUGUAUAUUGGCAAGUGCUUUGUAAUUAGGGUUUUUACUCUGCUGUCAACAUCAAUUGGCUUUUAAGGCUCUCUUGUAAAUUUUUUUCCAUGAGAUACAAAAGGACAGAACAAUUACAAAUUAUUUUAAUGAAGCUGGAUAUACCUGAUACUAACUCAGACAAAGACCCAACAACAACAAAAAAAGAAAGUUAUAAGCCAGUCUUGCUAAUGAACCUAGACUAAAAACAAUUCUCAUCCAAAUACUUGCAAAUUGAAUUCAAGAACAUAGUGAAAAGAUUAUCUACCAUGAUCUGGCUGGCUUCCUAACAGAGAUAGAGGGAUGGGUCAACAUAUGUAAAUUAGAAAAUGUAAUCUACCACAUAAACAGAUUCAAAGUCAGAAGUCCCCUGAUCACUGCAGUACACGAGG